GGGUCCGUAGCUCAGCCAGGUGGAGCGCCCGGCUCAUAACCGGGUGGUCAAGGGUUCGAAUCCCUUCGGACCCA
rnacentral:tRNA from 2 species